rnacentral:rRNA from 1 species
AUUGAACGCUGGCGGCAUGCUUUACACAUGCAAGUCGAACGGCAGCACAGCAGAGGUAACUCUGUGGGUGGCGAGUGGCGAACGGGUGAGUAAUACAUCGGAACGUACCCUGUUGUGGGGGAUAACUACGCGAAAGCGUAGCUAAUACCGCAUACGCCCUGAGGGGGAAAGCGGGGGGACCCUAAAUAGAGCGCACUGGGGAGUGCGUUGUAUUUAGGGCCUCGCGCAAUAGGAGCGGCCGAUGUCGGAUUAGCUAGUUGGUGAGGUAAAGGCUUACCAAGGCGACGAUCCGUAGCUGGUCUGAGAGGAUGAUCAGCCACACUGGGACUGAGACACGGCCCAGACUCCUACGGGAGGCAGCAGUGGGGAAUUUUGGACAAUGGGGGCAACCCUGAUCCAGCCAUGCCGCGUGAGUGAAGAAGGCCUCGGUU